CUUGCUUUCUUUGCUGGCGACCGGCGCACGGGUGAGUAACACGUAUCCAACCUGCCCUUUACUCGGGGAUAGCCUUUCGAAAGAAAGAUUAAUACCCGAUGGCAUAGUUCUUCCGCAUGGUGGAACUAUUAAAGAAUUUCGGUCAUCGAUGGGGAUGCGUUCCAUUAGGUUGUUGGCGGGGUAACGGCCCACCAAGCCUUCGAUGGAUAGGGGUUCUGAGAGGAAGGUCCCCCACAUUGGAACUGAGACACGGUCCAAACUCCUACGGGAGGCAGCAUG
rnacentral:rRNA from 1 species